rnacentral:lncRNA from 1 species
AAUAAAAUCUCUAGUUUGUUAUUUGGCCUUAUUCGUGAACUAGCCAUAUUUGGAGAAGAAAUUAAGUAAAUGUCAUUGAUUUUGACAUAAUGUAGAAACUAACAUUUAGCACAUCUUUGAUCCGGUUGUACCCUUAAUAGUAAUAAGUAGCAGGUUAUUGUGGUUGACGUAGAUAUAUUAAUAGCACAUCACAUAAAAAGGCAACGUCACAUCAUUAUUUACUGCAUACUUAGUUAUUAUGGAUAGUAAAAUGAAUAGAUAAUAUAUAAAGUUUUUUAAUAAAAAAAGUAUAUUCCAUAUCACCGAAAUAUUAUAUAAUUGUAAUCACAUUCACAACCACUAAAUACUAAACGUUAUCCCAACUUUUAAAUGCUAAGCCCCAAAAAACCCUAAUCCAAUGUUAACUUUAAUCUUUCAUAAACUAAUCCAAAUUUUGAAAUUUCAGUAAGAUGCAUUACUAUUCUACAUGAGACAUAUGAAAUAGAAAAAGUGAAAAUGUAAUUGCAAUCUAAAUAUCAUUUUAACAUAUUUCUCAAAUGUUGUAUGUUUAUGCCUUCAUGGAAGGUGGUAAUACUUGCCCUAAUGUCAACGCCAAUCAUACAUAAACUAAACCCUAUCUACUAAUCACUAACCCUACAUGGCAAUAUAAACUCAAAUCCGAUGUCAACCCUAAUCUUCCAUAAACUAAAGUCUAGCCACUAAUCACUAAACACUACAUGGACAAGACAUAGGCUUUUUACUUAAUUACCACAACCGCUAAAUAAUAUACUCAAACUCCUACUCAGUAAAUUUAAACCCUAGUCAGGAAACUAUAAACCCAAAUACAAUCUAUAAAUUGUUUUCUAAUAUUAAAUCCAUGAAGGCACAUUUAUUUGGUUUGAAAGGUUGCAUAUGGGCUAUACCAUAUAGUCUAAGUACUAUGAUAAACCUUACCGGGAAAACCUACAUAUUAAAGCCGCUCACACCCGCAACUUACUAUACCUAAACCCCUAAAAAUUAAUCGAUUUAUAACAAUGAUACAACAAGAAAAUAUAAACCCUCUUGUAUCCUCGUAGCAAAUCAUAUGUUGUUAUUCGUAAACCAUAAACCUAAAUAGAAUGGAACAAAGUAAAUAACAUAGUACGUAUCGUUGAAAUUAUGAAAUGUCUAUGAUUGCAUAAAAGAAAUUGAUGUUGACCUCAACUAUAUCCUCUCACCUUCAAAAUACUAAACCCUAAACUCUAAUCACUAAACUCUAACCCAAACAUAAAUCAUAAACCCAAAUAUAAACCAGAAACCCAAAUAGAAUAGAACAAAAUAAAUAACAUAGUACAUAUUAGUGAAAUUAUGAAAUGUCUAACCAUACCCCUUCACCUUUUAAAUACUAACCCCUAAUUCGAAUCAGUAAACCCUAACCCAAAUAUAAACUCUAAACCCAAAUAU